GAUGAACGCUGGCGGCGUGCCUAAUACAUGCAAGUCGAACGAACAGACGAGGCGCUUGCUCCUCUGACGUUAGCGGCGGACGGGUGAGUAACACGUGGAUAACCUACCUAUAAGACUGGGAUAACUUCGGGACACCGGCGCUAAUACCGGAUAAUCUAUUGCACCGCAUGGUUCAAUAGUGAAAGACGGUUUUGCUGUCACUUAUCGAUGGAUCCGCGCCGCAUUAGCUAGUUGGUAAGGUAACGGCUUACCAAGGCAACGAUGCGUAGCCGAACUGAGAGGGGGAUCGGCCGCACGGGAGCGGAGACACGGACCAGGCUCCUGCGAGAGGCCGCAGUAGGGAAUGUGCGGCAGUGGGCGAAAGCCUGACGGAGCAGCGCGGCGUGAGUGAUGAAGGUCUUGGGAUCGUAAAACUGUGUUAUGAGGUAAGAACAAAUGUGUACGGAACUAUGGACGUAUUGACGGUACCUAAUCAGAAAGCCCCGGCUAACUACGUG
rnacentral:rRNA from 1 species